AUGAAGCCGGAAUUGCUAGUAAUGGCAGGUCAGCAUACUGCCGUGAAUACGUUCCCGGGCCUUGUACACACCGCCCGUCACACCAUGAGAGUUGGGAAUACCCGAAGCCUGUGAGCUAACGUAAGAGGCAGCAGUCGAAGGUAGAAUCAAUGAUUGGGGUGAAGUCGUAACAAGGUACC
rnacentral:rRNA from 1 species